UUGACAAUGUACAUGUAUUUAACACAUUUAUUCAACGACUUGAAAGCGUUAACUACACAAACGAUAAUAAAUAAAACGAAGUGAGAAACACGCCAAGUAAACAUUGUUCACACUUAGUCCCUGUUCGGUGCCAUUUCUCUAAAACUCACUUUCACCACACAUUUUAUAAAAUCUAUAACUUUUAUCAACUUUUUAACCAAAUAUUUUAUCAACUUUUAAAAAAUAUACUAAAAUCUUAUUUUUACCUAAACAAAACAUGGGUUUAAUAUAUGGGCCCGUUUGGUAGGGAUUUUGAGAAUUGAUUUUUUGACCGUUAGAAGAAAAGUGGGGUCCACAUAUAAGAGAAGAAGUCAAAAAUUAGGGCUUGAAUAGUAAAAUAACGGUCAAAAAAUCAGUUUUUUUGGGCAAAAAAUCCCUACCAAACGGGGCCCAUAUAAGCAUGCUACAGUGUUAGAUUUUUUGACAUAAAGUUUGACAUAGCGUCACAUGGUGUUAUAUUAUUGAAUUAUUUUAAACACGGUCAGCUUUCUUUUCAAAUCACCCUCUACCACUUCAAAUAAUGUCAAAUAAUUAGUUAAAAUCUUUUGGCAAAGUGGCAAAACCCUAAUAUAAAUGUUAUGAUGAAAAACCAUCUUGAAAGAUUUAUCAUUCCCCAUUUUAACAUCCCUCUUAAAAUCUUUAAUAUUAUGGAAACCCGUAAACCAUAAGCACGGAGGGUUUAUUGUAGAACCUAGGAUCCCGAUGUGUAAGAGAAAGGAUGUAGAGUACGGUUUACUAUUUUUCAGAAGUUAUGAUACAACUCUUAACAUUAUAUUUUUGUAUGUUAUGACCAGAUAUUUAGCAAUGGGAGGUUCAAGAGUGUUCUGCAUAGAGUACUUGUGAAUCAGAUGAUCUGAUUAUGGAUUCCUCACCCUUCUCCUCCAAGAUGAAGUCAAGGGAUUGCAAAUACAGCACAAGGAAAAUUGGGUUACAGUUGAACCCAUUCCAGGAUCCUUUGUCGUCAAUGUUGGAGAUCAUCUUGAGGUACAUUUGAUAAUGUACAUGUAUUUAACACAUUUAUUCAACGACUUGAAAGCGUUAACUACACAAACGAUAAUAAAUAAAACGAAGUGAGAAACACGCCAAGUAAACAUUGUUCACACUUGGUCCCUGUUCGGUGCCAUUUCUCUAAAACUCAUUUUCACCACACAUUUUAUAGAAUCUAUAACUUUUAUCAACUUUUUAACCAAACAUUUUAUCAACUUUUAAAAAAUAUACUAAAAUCUUAUUUUUACCUAAACAAAACAGGGGUUUAAUAUAAAUAAGCAUGCUACAGUGUUAGAUUUUUUGACAUAAAGUUUGACGUAGCGUCACAUGGUGUUAUAUUAUUGAACUAUUUUAAACACGGUCAGCUUUCCUUUCAAAUCAUCCUCUACCACUUCAAAUAAUGUCAAAGAAUUAGUUAAAAUCUUCUGACAAAGUGGCAAAACCCUAAUUUAAAUGUUAUGAUGAAAAACCAUCUUGAAAGAUUUAUCAUUCCCCAUUUUAACAUCCCUCUUAAAAUCUUUAAUAUUAUGGAAACCCAUAAACCAUAAGCACGGAGGGUUUAUUGUAGAACCUAGGAUCCCGAUGUGUAAGAGAAAAGAUGUAGAGUACAGUUUACUAUUUUUCAGAAGUUAUGAUACAACUCUUAACAUUAUAUUUUUGUAUGUUAUGACCAGAUAUUUAGCAACGGGAGGUUCAAGAGCGUUCUGCAUAAAGUACUUGUGAAUCCGAU
rnacentral:lncRNA from 1 species